rnacentral:rRNA from 1 species
UACAGAGGGGGCGAGCGUUGUUCGGAAUUACUGGGCGUAAAGGGCGCGUAGGCGGCCUGCUAAGUCGAACGUGAAAUCCCCGGGCUCAACCCGGGAACUGCGUCCGAUACUGGUGGGCUUGAAUCCGGGAGAGGGAUGUGGAAUUCCAGGUGUAGCGGUGAAAUGCGUAGAUAUCAGGAGGAAUACCGGUGGCGAAAGCGACUCUCUGGACGGCAACUGACGCUGAGGCACGAAAGCGUGGGGAGCAAACAGG